UACGGAGGGUGCGAGCGUUGUUCGGAAUUACUGGGCGUAAAGCGCGUGUAGGCGGCCUCUUCAGUCUGGUGUGAAAGCCCGGGGCUCAACCCCGGAAGUGCAUUGGAUACUGGGAGGCUGGAGUACCGGAGAGGAGGGUGGAAUUCCUGGUGUAGCGGUGAAAUGCGUAGAUAUCGGGAGGAACAUCAGUGGCGAAGGCGGCCCUCUGGUCCAGUACUGACACUCAAGUGCGAAAGCGUGGGGAGCAAACAGG
rnacentral:rRNA from 1 species